rnacentral:tRNA from 1 species
AACAGGUUAUCAUAUUUUAAUGAGUUAAGCUUAGAACUUAGAUAAAGUUUCAAACUACUUGUUA